UCAUAAUUGAGUAUAUAAUUUCACCAUGCAUUAAUAUGUUCUAACAAUUGGUUUAAUUUAUUAGAACUUGAUAAUAAUCUUGACGCAAUGGUGGUCUUUCAACAACUCAAAUGAUUGGUUGAUCUCAGUCAACGGAAUUUGGUGAGUUAUAAGCUCAUUUAGUUGAAUCUCCUUAUUUGCGCAUCUAUGAAGUAUAGUAGGAAGAUCAGAGUGAAGUCUUAUUCCACCAUAGAUUGAACCUUUCAAUGUUCUACCACAUAAUAAGGGAACUAAGUUGAAUUCUCUAGUAAGUCCAUGUCCUGCACCAAUUACAACAAUUGUCCCAAUUCCCAAUUUUGAGGCUUCAAUGGCUUCAUUAAGCAUGGAUGGAAUCCCAGUACAUUCGAAAACAUAAUCAACACCUAAGCCUUCAGUAACAUCUUUUAUCAUCUCCCAAACUGAUGUCCUGGAUUCUUUAGGGUUAAUGAAGUCCGUCAUUCCAAACACUUGUCCUUUUCCCCGUUUCGAUUCAUUUAUAUCAACACCAAUUAUUUUCGAUGCCCCUUGACUUCGAG
rnacentral:misc_RNA from 1 species